GCCAUUUUGGAUCAGGGCGGUUGACGGUGGAUUCACUUCCCAUCAGCCCUUGAGGCUGCAGGGACCAGCCCUUUGUGGAGAAGCCCAGGCGGCCUAGAAUCCAGUGUCGUCCGUGAGUGCUUGGCUGGUGUUCAAGUGCAUCUUCCAGCCUGAGACCGCGUGGACUCGCUCAUCGUGAGGGCGAGAGGAGGAUAAGCCCAUUGGGCUGUCGGCUGAGAGUGAGGUGCGGGACCAUCCACAAUAUUGUUUGAACAUCUGAAGACAUGGGGAACUUGCCAUCUGAUAUCUGAUAACAGACUUCCUGUAAAGCAGGACUGGUAGUUUCCUGAUAACAAAUUCUUCAAUAUGAAGAUUGCUGAUGAAAUCCUUGGCAUCGUCGGAGAUCUCAUCGAAUGCCUCGUCGUCGAAGUCCCAGGUGGCUGAGGUAACGUUGGCCAAGGUUUCGUUAUCGUUGUCUCCCAUGAAGGGGGAAAGGCCACUGACUCUGGAGAGACAAGAGCAGGACAGCAGGUGUGGCUAGGAGAGGGCGCGACGACCAGAUGAGGGAAUUGAGGCACAGCCCAGGCUCAAGUCACCUGCCCAAAGAUUCACAGCCAGUGAGAUUGGAAGCCAGGUAUCUGCCUCUAGAGCCUGUCCUCUUAAAUGCUAUACUAUCCUAACAUUUCUGUAAAGAUGAAGUAAAUUGCAGUGUUCAGCACUGGCACCAGGCCUGGUCCACAGUAAGGAGGCGGUCCAUGCCCGGAGAUCUCAUGCAGUUCUGCUGGGUUCCCUCCACUGCCUUACCAAGCUGUGAGUGCAGGAAUGACUUUGUGACCAGCAGCUUAAGCCAAAUAAACUUUAUAAGGUAAAGAAUUUCAAAA
rnacentral:lncRNA from 1 species